rnacentral:ncRNA from 1 species
GGUUGGACGGAUAGCAGGAACCAUCCGUUUUCAAGAGAAACCAAGUUUCUGGGGUGGGAAGCU